GUUUGGAAGGUGCUCCAACUAAGGGUAUGCUGAAAUUUUUGUGAGAAAACUGAAAUCGCAAGUUUCCGGCUAUAUUUAUUAGUAGUCAAUGAUUUUGACGCCGUUUUGAUAUUGUUCGCAGCGAGAGGGUAAUUGACCGUUGGACCGUCUUCGACUGGCAUUGGAGGGCCUUUUGGCAGCUUCUCUUGAGGUAAAACACUAACCCAGAAUAGGGAUUCAAGGGGUUACUUUGUACUAAGUGUAAAUUAGGCCGAAAUCGGACAUUUCGGUCGUCAUUUUGACGCGAUGUUGAUGUUUACUUUCAGCAGGAUUGGAGCCUUGUUGAGCUGAUUAGUGGGACUUCUUGUGACUAUUUGGAGCCUAGUACUAGGUGGGUUUGACCUAACCAGAGCAAGUGAAGCUCCCCUAUGUUCUAUAUGUAUUAUAGAAGUGGCCUAGUUAUAUGCUUAUGUGAUUGUUAAAGGGCUCGGAAUUCGUCAUCAUGACGUUUU
rnacentral:lncRNA from 1 species